rfam:Microgenomates (Woesebacteria) bacterium GW2011_GWB1_40_101 TT72_C0006, whole genome shotgun sequence.
UCUGGAGGAAGGAUGACUACUCCGAUUUAAUCGGAGAGGAAAGUCCAGGCAGCAGAAAGCAGGAGAUCUCGUGUAAGCGGGAACCCGAAAGGGCUGGUUAGAGCAACAGAGACGAGUCCCGAUAAAGUUUAAAGCUUGAUCGGGGGUGAAACGGGCAAUCCCCUCCGCUGCAACCUUAGAAUGGGACGUUUGAGGUAGCUUUCCCGAGUCCCAAGUUAAAGGGCUUAGAUAGAUUGUCAUCUGACCCGUUCGAUAUGACUCAGGGUCACCCUGAGCGAGGUGGUUCGAUAUAACUCACCACGGUGAGCGAAGUCGAAUCCGUCGAAGGGGUGAAACAGAACCUGGCUUACUAGCCUCCAGAGUAC